UGUAAGCGUAUACCAAAGUUGUUGCAGUUAAAACGCUCGUAGUCGAAUUUUGGUGUGAGUUAUGGAGACUCCUACUGGAUGUUGAAGUAACUUCGCCUUUGUGGAGGGGGUGUGGUGGUACUUUAUUGUAUUGCUGCAUUUCCGCCACUGUUUACUGUGAAAAAAUUAGAGUGUUCAAAGCGAGCGUUUGCCAUGAAUACAUUAGCAUGGAAUAAUAGAAUAGGACCUGGUUCUGUUUUAUUGGUUUGUCUGUAUCAGGUAAUGAUUAACAGGGACGGUCGGGGGUAUUUGUAUUCCAGCGUUAGAGGUGAAAUUCUUGGAUCGCUGGAAGACAGACAGCUGCGAAAGCGUCUACCAAGGACGUUUUCAUUG
rnacentral:rRNA from 1 species